CAGCAGCCGCGGUAAUACCGAGGGUGCAAGCGUUAAUCGGAUUUACUGGGCGUAAAGGGCGCGUAGGUGGUUAUGUAAGUGAGAUGUGAAAUCCCCGGGCUCAACCUGGGAACUGCCUUUGAUACUGGACAUCUUGAGUAUGGGAGAGGUGAGUGGAACUCCGAGUGUAGAGGUGAAAUUCGUAGAUAUUCGGAAGAACACCAGUGGCGAAGGCGACUCACUGGCCCAUUACUGACGCUGAGGCGCGAAAGCGUGGGGAGCAAACAGGAUUAGAUACCCCUGUAGUCCCUGUCUCUUAUAC
rnacentral:rRNA from 1 species